rnacentral:snRNA from 1 species
AGCUUUGUGCAGUGGCAGCAUUGUAACCAAUGAGGCUUAUCCAAGGCACGAUUAUUGCUAAUUAAAUAUCUUAUUUCUGUUUCCUUACAUUUAAACAGAGGAAACUGGGCUGCAUGAUUUCUUCAUUCCCUCUAAGAAAG